rnacentral:rRNA from 1 species
UACAGAGGUCUCGAGCGUUGUUCGGAUUCAUUGGGCGUAAAGGGUGCGUAGGCGGCGGGGCAAGUCUGAUGUGAAAUCCCGGGGCUCAACCCUGGAACUGCAUUGGAUACUGCCUUGCUAGAGUACUGGAGAGGAGAUUGGAAUUUACGGUGUAGCAGUGAAAUGCGUAGAUAUCGUAAGGAGGACCAGUGGCGAAGGCGAAUCUCUGGACAGUUACUGACGCUGAGGCACGAAGGCCAGGGGAGCAAACGGG